rnacentral:snRNA from 1 species
AGACUUAACUGGCAGGGGAGACACCAUGAUCGCAUAGGUGGUUUUCCCAGGGUAAGGCUUGCCCGUUGCACUCUGGAUGUGCUGUCCCCUGCAGUUUUCCCAUAUAAGAACCUUGAUGACUGUGUAAUCUGUGCUAGUGGUGGUUCGUGUUCAGACUUUCCCCAU